rnacentral:rRNA from 1 species
UGCUCCAGAAUAGCUCUUGGAAACGGGUGGUAAUGCUGGAUGCUCCAACUUGACGCAUGUCUUGUUGGGAAAGUGUUUAGUGGCAUGGGAUGGGGUCGCGUCCUAUCAGCUUGUAGGCGGGGUAAUGGCCCACCUAGGCUUCGACGGGUAGCCGGCCUGAGAGGGCGGACGGCCACAUUGGGACUGAGAUACGGCCCAGACUCCUACGGGAGGCAGCAGAA